CCUACGGGAGGCAGCAGUGAGGAAUAUUGGUCAAUGGCCGAGAGUCUGAACCAGCCAAGUAGCGUGAAGGAUGACUGCCCUAUGGGUUGUAAACUUCUUUUAUCAAGGAAUAAAACGAGGCACGUGUGCCUUUUUGCAUGUAAUUUGUGAAUAAGGAUCGGCUAACUCCGUGCCAGCAGCCGCGGUAAUAAGGGGGAUCCGAGCGUUUUCCGGAUUUAUUGGGUUUAAAGGGAGCGGAGAUGGGUUGUUAAGUCAGUUGUUAAAGUUUGCGGCUCAAACGUAAAAUUGCAAUUGAUACUGGCAGUCUUGAGUACAGUUGAGGUAGGCGGAAUGCGUGGUGUAGCGGUGAAAUGCUUAGAUAUCACGAAGAACCCCGAUUGCGAAGGCAGCUUACUAAACUGUGACUGACAUUGAUGCUCGAAAGUGUGGGUAUCAAACAGGAUUAGAUACCCGGGUAGUC
rnacentral:rRNA from 1 species